UCUGUACAAAUUUGGGGAGGAGCAUGUGCUUCUAUGCUUAUAAAGUGGCACUCACCUGAUCUUCACAUGGGCCAGUCCUCAAGCUUCACCAUUUCUUUUCUACAACUCUUAUUUUACAUCUUAUUUCCUCUAGUUAUUCAAUAUUUCUAGUACCUGGUGGUUUUUGCAGUUUUUAAGAAAUGUUAUUAUCCAAUGUCUUGAAAUGCUAUUAAAUGGCAUUAGUUUUUGUUUUCUUUUUUUUUCCCCGCAGAUACAAACCUUGACUAAAGCUCCAAAUUUGUGUUUUGACCAUGUGACUGCCCGUGGUCCAUCAUUCUUUCCAGUUCACUUCAGCUGCAAGUGAGCAGUCUUGCCACAGGAAGUAGCUUCAAUCCAGUUGCUGGCGAGGGACCAUCUCGCCAUCUCCCACAGCGCCUGGUGCAGACAUCUUUAUUGUUACUGCAGGAGACAUUGACGAGGAACAGCACUGUUUUUCUCCAAAACUGCAUCACAAAAUAAGAAUGGUAUUUGGUUCUGUCUUUAAGCGUAGAUGAAUGUGAACAUAUCUUCCAGUCUUGAUGCCUCUAAAACCAAGAUAUUGUAUUUUUACCACCUGUUCAGAAAGGUAUAUGCCUUAAGCAUGCAAGGCCCCCAGGAUGGUUCCUUUAUAAUUCCUACAAUAGAGUAAAUCCCCCUCCCUUCCAAAGGAGUAAAUCCUCAACCACAAGUAACUGUGAUCCCUCUGCGUACAGAAAAAGAAAAUUGGGCUUCUUUAUAAGAGCACCAUGAGACACAGUAAGUCAUGGUCUUGGGGCUGGCAGAGGGCAGGGACUAGAUCUAAAGUGAUGUCUGGAGAAGUGGUGGGACUGGUAGAGCAGGGGCUUGUGGCAGGUCCCCAAGGCAGCCCUGAAUAAGGAAGAGGGGGACUUUUUUUUUUUGUCUUUUUGCCUUUUCUAGGGCCACUCCUGAGGCAUAUGGAGGUUCCCAGGCUAGGGGUCUAAUCGGAGCUGUAGCCGCCGGACUACACCACACUCCAUAGCAACACCAGAUCCGAGCUACAUCUGCAACCUACACCACAGCUCAUGGCAGCACCGGAUCCUUAACCCACUGAGCAAGGCCAGGGACCGAACCCGCAACCUCAUGAUUCCUAGUCGGAUUCGUUAACCACUGCGCCAUUACGGGAACUCCCCAAAGGGGACAUUUUUAAGGCACCUGCACCAAACAUGGGAUAGAGGGGCUCAGGGCCAAGGUUAAGACCUGAUCAUUCAGAUAAUACCUGAGCAAGAGCAGGUAACUGCCUUUUAGCCUAUGUCUCAAAUAAGAUUCAAAUGCUUCUCAGACAUACAGAGAAGUCCCAGGGUAUU
rnacentral:lncRNA from 1 species